rnacentral:rRNA from 1 species
UACAGAGGGUGCGAGCGUUAAUCGGAAUUACUGGGCGUAAAGGGCGCGUAGGCGGUUUUGUGUGUGUGAUGUGAAAGCCCUGGGCUUAACCUAGGAAUUGCAUUCGAGACUGAAUAGCUAGGGUGCGGUAGAGGGAAGCGGAAUUUCCGGUGUAGCGGUGAAAUGCGUAGAUAUCGGAAGGAACAUCAGUGGCGAAAGCGGCUUCCUGGACCAGCACCGACGUUCAGGCACGAAAGCGUGGGGAGCAAACAGG